CCAUUUUUUUGGCAUCUCGCCCCAGUAAAGUUAGCCCCUCCAGUUAUUAUAGAACUCAAUGCUUAAGCCCACGAACACCAAAAUUUCAUUCUGACUUGUGCACUUGAGCCAGCGUUAUAAAUCUUCAAACCUUCAAAAUUAUAAUUACAUGACUAUCGCAUUUGGCUUAUUUAUAUCUUGAAGUCAUCAUGGCUGAAAGUAGGCAUAUAUACGAUUUUGGCUCAUUGAUUCAAGACAGUUAAACCAGCGAGAUUUCUUCUGUAAGAAAGGAUUAUGAAGCAAAAGUCUCUGCUGCCAUUCCGACUAAAACAGACCUGUUUCGAAAAGGAAAGCUGGCGAGAGAUCUUAACGCAGAGUUGAUUAUCCCUAACCAUAUGGGAGAUAAUUGGCGGGCUUUAAAAACUAGAGGUGAUGGUAACUGCGUGAAAAUUUCUUUGCUAUAUCUACGUAUCUUUUUCUGCUCUUGGAGGAGUGAUAUUAUCAAUGAAAGAAGAGAAUAACAUUUAUCAUUACUUGUUGCCUGCUUUUGGUACGAUGAUUACAUCGUGAACAUUUCUUUGCUAUAUCUACGUAUCUUUUUCUGCUCUUGGAGGAGUGGUAUUAUCAACGAAAGAAGAA